GGGGGGGUGGUAGAGAGGGUAUAUUUUUAUUCGGCGUCCCGGCAAAAGAAAUACCAGUAAUCCAUCAAUCAUUUUUUUUUUAUAAUUAAAAAACGUUGGCUAUAACAGCAUUAUUUCUCAUUACCACGUCAGAGGAGAAGAAAUGGCUUUGGAAACAGGUGAUUUAGUCUACUUGGAAAUGGGUGAUAUAGCCUACUUGGAAAUGGGUGAUAUAGUCUACUUGGAAAUGGGUGAUAUAGCCUACUUGGAAAUGGGUGAUAUAGUCUACUUGGAAAUGGGUGAUAUAGUCUACUUGGAAAUGGGUGAUAUAGUCUACUUGGAAGCAUGUGAUAUAGCCUACUUGGAAACAGGUGAUAUAGUCUACUUGAAAGCAUGUGAUAUAGCCUACAUUCCAAAAUGCGUUGUGUUUCCAAUGGAGAAAACAGGCAUUUUGCCACGGCAGAGAUGAGUGACCGAGACGCACGCGGACAGCAGCGGACGAGGACAUUCUGGCCCAAACACUUUGGGGUGUUUUGGGUUACAUAUUUCUUUCCAUUCACUCCUGUUCGGAUGCUGGAAAUAUGUCUCAAGUGGAUGAACGUGUGAGGGUCGCCUCGUAAAGGGUCCUUUUGAAGUAGUUAUUUGACAAUUGGGUGAAAACAUCAUGACUGGUUAUGUUUAUGCCACAAUAAAAGUUAAAUGACAAAUCUUUA